rnacentral:rRNA from 1 species
UUCUACAGCCUUACUACCCUGAAUGCACCUGAUCUUGUCUGAUCUCAAAGCUAAAUAGGGUCGGGCAUGGAUAGUACUUGGAUGGGAGAUACUUGUGGAUUGGAUU